GCUUGUCUCAAAGAUUAAGCCAUGCAUGUCUAAGUAUAAACAACUUUGUACUGUGAAACUGCGAAUGGCUCAUUAUAUCAGUUAUAGUCUACCCGACAGUACCUUACUACUUGGAUACCCGUAGUAAUUCUAGAGCUAAUACAUGCAUCAAUACCUGACUGCUUGCGGAAAGGUAGCAUUUAUUAGAUUGAAACCAAUCCUUUCGGGGUUUGUGUUGAUUCAUAAUAACUGUGCUGAUCGCUUCGAGCGAUAUGUCGGUUGAGUUUCUGCCCUAUCAGCUUUGGAUGGUAAGAUAUAGGCUUACCAUGGCGUUAACGGGUAACGGGGAAUUAGGGUUUGAUUCCGGAGAGGGCGCCUGAGAAAUGGCGACCACAUCCAAGGAAGGCAGCAGG
rnacentral:rRNA from 1 species